AGAGUUUGAUCCUGGCUCAGGAUGAACGCUAGCUACAGGCUUAACACAUGCAAGUCGAGGGGCAGCAUGAACUUAGCUUGCUAAGUUUGAUGGCGACCGGCGCACGGGUGAGUAACACGUAUCCAACCUGCCGAUGACUCGGGGAUAGCCUUUCGAAAGAAAGAUUAAUACCCGAUGGCAUAAUUCUUCCGCAUGGUAGAACUAUUAAAGAAUUUCGGUCAUCGAUGGGGAUGCGUUCCAUUAGGUUGUUGGCGGGGUAACGGCCCACCAAGCCUUCGAUGGAUAGGGGUUCUGAGAGGAAGGUCCCCCACAUUGGAACUGAGACACGGUCCAAACUCCUACGGGAGGCAGCAGUGAGGAAUAUUGGUCAAUGGACGAGAGUCUGAACCAGCCAAGUAGCGUGAAGGAUGACUGCCCUAUGGGUUGUAAACUUCUUUUAUACGGGAAUAAAGUGAGGCACGUGUGCCUUUUUGUAUGUACCGUAUGAAUAAGGAUCGGCUAACUCCGUGCCAGCAGCCGCGGUAAUACGGAGGAUCCGAGCGUUAUCCGGAUUUAUUGGGUUUAAAGGGAGCGUAGGCGGACGCUUAAGUCAGUUGUGAAAGUUUGCGGCUCAACCGUAAAAUUGCAGUUGAUACUGGGUGUCUUGAGUACAGUAGAGGCAGGCGGAAUUCGUGGUGUAGCGGUGAAAUGCUUAGAUAUCACGAAGAACUCCGAUUGCGAAGGCAGCUUGCUGGACUGUAACUGACGCUGAUGCUCGAAAGUGUGGGUAUCAACAGGAUUAGAUACCCUGGUAGUCCACACAGUAAACGAUGAAUACUCGCUGUUUGCGAUAUACAGUAAGCGGCCAAGCGAAAGCGUUAAGUAUUCCACCUGGGGAGUACGCCGGCAACGGUGAAACUCAAAGGAAUUGACGGGGGCCCGCACAAGCGGAGGAACAUGUGGUUUAAUUCGAUGAUACGCGAGGAACCCUUACCCGGG
rnacentral:rRNA from 1 species